AUUGAACGCUGGCGGCAGGCUUAACACAUGCAAGUCGAACGAGUGGCGGACGGGUGAGUAAUGCUUGGGAAUCUAGCGUAUGGAGGGGGAGAACUACGGGAAACUGUAGCUAAUACCGCGUACCAUAGGAUGAGCCCAAGGGGGAUUAGGUAGUUGGUGCGGGAAAGGCUACCCAAGCCGACGAUCUCUAGCUGGUCUGAGAGGAUGACCAGCCACACUGGGCCUGAGACACGGCCCAGACUCCUACGGGAGGCAGCAGUGGGGCAUAUUGCGCAAUGGGGGCAACCUGACGCAGCCAUUCCGCGUGAAUGAAGAAGGCCUUCGGGUUGUAAAGUUCUUUCGGUAGCGAGGCGUUAACUACAGAAGAAGCACCCGCUAACUCCGUGCCAGCCGCCGCGGUAAUUC
rnacentral:rRNA from 1 species